GACGAACGCUGGCGGCGCGCUUAACACAUGCAAGUCGAACGGAAAGGCCUGCUUUCCCUUGUGGAUUGCGGGUACUCGAGUGGCGAACGGGUGAGUAACACGUGAGUGAUCUGCCCCCAACUUGGGUAUAAGCCUGGGAAACUGGGUCUAAUUCCCGAUAGGACUGCAGGGUGGUGCCUGUGGUGGAAAACGAUUUUCUAGUGGUUGGGGAUGAGCUCGCGGCCUAUCAGCUUGUUGGUGGGGUAAUGGCCUACCAAGGCGGCGACGGGUAGCCGGACUGAGAGGGUGGACGGCCACAUUGGGACUGAGAUACGGCCCAGACGCCUACGGGAGGCAGCAGUGGGGAAUAUUGCACAAUGGGCGGAAGCCUGAUGCAGCGACGCCGCGUGGGGGAUGACGGCCUUCGGGUUGUAAACUCCUUUCGACCGCGAGGAAGCCACCUGGUUGGAAGGGUGGUGACGGUAGUGGUAGAAGAAGCACCGGCUAACUACGUG
rnacentral:rRNA from 1 species